GCGGGCAUGGCGGAAUCGGUAGACGCAAGGGACUUAAAAUCCCUCGGCUCGUGAGAGCUGUGCCGGUUCGAGUCCGGCUGCCCGCACCA
rnacentral:tRNA from 1 species